AUGACCCUAGCCUCAUCCGUUCUCCCUUCAUCGUCGUUCCGCCACCAACGAGCAUGUUUCUGCUCAUCAUCUGCUCAAUCUCCUUCUAAGUCUUUAAAUCCACCCAUUGAACACGAAAACCCUAAGAAGCUAAAAGAAAAAUCUAACGCGGCGCGUAGAGUAAUCAAUUACAAAUCCUUAGGAAUAUCAAUCUACAUGUUCUACUCUACGCACAGACAUGAAGAUCGAAGCAGAAGGUUGUAA